UACGGAGGAUCCGAGCGUUACCCGGAUUUAUUGGGUUUAAAGGGUGCGCAGGCGGGAUGUUAAGUCGGCGGUGAAAUUUUGCAGCUCAACUGUAAAAGUGCCUUCGAUACUGGCUUUCUUGAGUGUGGAUGAAGUAGGCGGAAUUUGUGGUGUAGCGGUGAAAUGCUUAGAUAUCACGAGGAACUCCGAUUGCGCAGGCAGCUUACUAAACCACUACUGACGCUCAUGCACGAAGGCGUGGGGAUCAAACAGGAUUAGAUACCCU
rnacentral:rRNA from 1 species